rnacentral:lncRNA from 1 species
UGGUAACUUGCUCAAGGUCCAGAGCUAAUAGACAGCAGCGCUGGCAAUGAGGCAGUGAUUGAGGUGCCUGUGGCUGUCUUCCUGCUGUCCCGGUAACCACUGUCAUCUGACCUAAAACCACGGACUGAGAGGGCUCAUCAAAAACAGGUUCUUGCUUUGAACAACAGAACACUUUGAGUGACUCACUGGUCAGAUGCUGUAAGGUAUUUUUUU